AGGGCUUAAAUGCAGACGCAUAAAGUGGAACCAUUAUAGUCUUCGGACGGUCUGCAAGGUGCUGCAUGGCUGUCGUCAGCUCGUGCCGAGGUGUUGGGUUAAGUCCGCAACGAGCGCAACCCCUAUCUUUAGUUGCCAGCGGAUAAUGCCGGGGACUCUAAAGAAACUGCCAGCGCAAGCUGAGAGAAGCGGGGACGACGUCAAGUCAUCACGGCCCUUACGUCCUGGCCACACACGUGCUACAAUGGUCGGUACAGAGGCAGCUACCUAGCGAUAGGAUGCGAAUCUCGAAAGCCGAUCUCAGUUCGGAUUGGAGUCUGCAACUCGACUCUAUGAAGCUGGAAUCGCUAGUAAUCGCGCAUCAGCCAUGGCGCGGUGAAUACGUUCCCGGGCCUUGUACACACCGCCCGUCAAACAAUGGAAGCUGGGGGUGCCUGAAGUCGGUAACCGUAAGGAGCUGCCUAGGGUAAAACUAGUAACUGGUU
rnacentral:rRNA from 1 species